UACGAAGGGGGCUAGCGUUGCUCGGAAUCACUGGGCGUAAAGCGCACGCAGGCGGAUCGUUAAGUCAGGGGUGAAAUCCCGAGGCUCAACCUCGGAACUGCCUUUGAUACUGGCGAUCUCGAGUCCGGGAGAGGUGAGUGGAACUGCGAGUGUAGAGGUGAAAUUCGUAGAUAUUCGCAAGAACACCAGUGGCGAAGGCGGCUCACUGGCCCGGUACUGACGCUGAGGUGCGAAAGCGUGGGGAGCAAACAGGAUAGAUACCCC
rnacentral:rRNA from 1 species